rnacentral:rRNA from 1 species
GCCAUUAGUGGAUGCCUAGGAAGUGUUGACCGAAGAAGGACGUUUCUACGGCAGCGAAAAUCGUCGGGGAGCAGCCCAUGAUGCUUUGAUCCGGCGGUGUCCGAAUGGGGAAACCCAUGCCGAUGCAAAUUCGGCAUAACCUUUGCCAUGAAGUUGGUUUCGAUUUAUCGAGAUCAUAUUAGUGGCGGGUAGGGAACCCGGUGAACUGAAACAUCUAAGUAACCGGUGGAAAAGAAAUCAAAGAGAUUCCCUUAGUAGCGGCGAGUGAAAAGGGAUCA